CAAUAUCCAGCAGGCCAUAAUUUGUAGUAAUAAAUCAGAUUUUACUGUGCAAGUUCAGAGGUGAAUUGUAUAGGAAGUUCAUGCAGAUUUGAAAAGUGAAGAAAGAUAUAAAAGUAUUAAAACAUAGGGCUCCCUCUUAUCACUUUAUAAAAGGUCUGAAAUUUGGAAAACUUGCAAUAAUUUCUCAUUAUUUCUGUAAAUUGCUCAUAAUUGUAUCCAAGAAUAAAGAGGAAAAAAGUCAAGCCAGUACUUAGCUUGAAGUAUUAACUACACAUUGUUCUCCUGUGAGCACUCAACAGAUCUCGUCUUGUUAAAAUUAUGGCAAAUUGGAACAGCAGCUCCCUUCUGAAUCAACCUUCAUUUCUGUCUUUCCCUGCUGAAGAUUGUUACAUUUUAAAGUCACAAAUUAUUAUUUAUUUAUUCCCCUAAAAAAUGCAUGCAUGGUCCCAAAAGCCAUCAUAUAACAUCCCACAGUACCCACAAAUGCAGUACUCAUUAUUACAAAUUAUUAGAUUACUUAAUCUUCUUUGCCAGUACCUUCUUUAAAAAAAAAUAAAUAAAAUUUAAAAAACAAAAAUCACAGUCCCCCUAUACAAGCUUAAAAUACAAGACAAUAAAACUGAUAGUAAUAAUAAUGAUAUGUUUCCUUGGUCUUUUACGACACAGGAAACAAAUGCCUGUUGACUUGUAUUACAGGGAUAUAUACACAUUGAAAGAUGAUACAUGGCUGAGUCAGUCAGUUCCUUACCCUGAGGAUGCUCACCCUGGGUAAAAAAUGUUCACUUGCUUUUUAGGAUCUGGAAGGAGCUAUAGGAAUGAAAAGCCACAUUGUUCCUGUUUUGAGUCUUUCCCUUUAAGAUGAGAGAACCAUCUCUCAGACCUUUGACUCCAAAGGCCUCUCUACCAACAGCAGGAUUUGGUGGCAUUUCUUUCCUUUGCUCAAAUAACCGUGCCUUGUCUGGAAAUUGAAACAGGGUAGCAUCAGCCCACACGGUGAUGCCAAAUCCCACUUGGAAUGCUCACCUUGUCCUGGCUUUGUAGCUUGCUUUAUCCUGUUCCCCAAAUCCAGCUUCUGCUCCAGAAAUCUGUUCAUUCACCUGACCUUUCCCAUUUCCCUGACUCCUUUCUUUGUCAAGGAUUGUUUUCCUUCCAUUACAGUCAAUGGGAGUAAGCAGCUGAUUACAAAAGGAAUUUCUGAGCAAGAAAAGGCAAAAGGAAAGGAACAAGCAGUUACAGUCGUGAAGGACCAGCCACACAGAUGCCAUUCCUCCCUGUGCCAUUUGCCAUCACACUGAAAUCCACAGCAGACAUCAGUUUAGCAGAAGUCAGCUGGAUUGAAGAAGAAACAGCUAUGAGACUGUUUCCUACAGCAGCCUCUGAAAUGGAGAUUACAAGUGUAUUCUUCAGCUGUUAAGAAGAAACUGCUAGUUUAGUAAUGGCAAAUGGCUUAAAACAGUCACAAUAAACAGAUAACAUAGGGUAUCCA
rnacentral:lncRNA from 1 species